AAAAAAAUUUAGAACCUUGCCAUCGUGAAACUCAUCUUCUUCCUUGAAACCACCAUAUUCAUCUCUUCUACAAACCCAAAUUCUUCCAUUAACACCUUUCUUUAACAUAAAUUCUUCCAUCACUAACCUCUUUCCAACACAAAAUCCAUCUUUCUCUUCCCACAAUUCCAUAAAAAUAUCUCAAAUCCUUUUGAAUUCACAACAACUAAAAACUCAAAUCCAUUCUUCCAAACACCAUCACUCAAUAAACCCCAUCUUCUACACCUCAACAAAAACUCGCGAAAUUCAACAACCCCAUCUCCAAAUUAAACCUUCUCUUCACAAAUUUCACCCAAUUCUCUCAAAUUCUUUGAACCCACUUUUACCAAUUCUCUCAAACCCUUAAACCAAAAACCUUCACCUUCACCAAACCACCUUCAAGAAUCACGAAAUUCAUACCCACCACAU
rnacentral:lncRNA from 1 species